rnacentral:rRNA from 1 species
UACGUCUAAGUAUAAAUCGUUUAUACAGGUGAAACUGCGAAUGGCUCAUUAAAUCAUGUAUAAUUUAUUUGAUAGUACCUUACUACUUGGAUAACCGUGGUAAUUCUAGAGCUAAUACAUGCUAAAACCUCCGACUUCUCCAAGGGGUGUAUUUAUUAGAUAAUAAACCAAUAUCGGGCAACCGAUCCAUUGGUGAUUCAUAAUAACUUUUCGAAUCGUAUGACUUUACGUCGACGAUGAAUACUUCAAAUUUCUGCCCUAUCAACUUUCGAUCGUAGGAUAAGGCCUACCAUGGGUGGUAACGGGUAACGGGUUAGGGCACGACACCGGAGGGGGAGCCUGAGAAACGGGGUACCAACCCAAGGAUGGCAGCAGGCGCGGCAAAUUACCCAAUCCCGAACACCGGGGAGGUAGUGACAAUAAAAUAACAUACGGGGUUCUUUCGGAUCUCGUAAUUGGAAUGAGUACAAUUUUUUUCCCCCCUUUUU